ensembl:lncRNA
ACCAGAACCAGAACCAGUGAAGGAACCAGAGCCCCAGCCUGUACCAGAACCCGUGGUACCAGAGUCUAAACCAGAGCCAGCACCAGAGCCGGUGGUGGAGGCUGCACCAGAACCAGAGUCUGUGGUACCAGAACCGGAGCCAGCCCCAGAGACCGUCCCAGUGGAAGAGCCUGUGGUGGUCCCAGAACCAAAGAAACCCAAAGAGACAAAAGUCAAGGAGCUGAAACCCAAGGAGCCGAAAGUGAAAGAGCCAAAAGCCAUUCUGGAUGAUGUAGCGGCGGCCGAGGAGAAGGUCACAUUUGCUCCGGGUAAAAAGAAGAGCAAGUUUGAGACGCUGAUGACCAAAGAGGAGAUCGAGGAGGAGCAGAGACCCGAGUGAUGCCUCGUCUGAGUCUGCUCCUCCACAGCUGAACAAAUAUAAGAUUUAUACAAACACGGUGGACUGCCCCAGGCGGCUGUGGCUCUGUGGACUGGAGCAUUGUGGGAAAUGUAGUACAGUUUUUACUGGGAUUUAGCUCAAGUCCUAGUUUAGUUCUGGUUUAGUCCAUGUUUAGUCC